rnacentral:lncRNA from 1 species
GCCAGUCUUGACAUCAUCCGGCGCUGGGACCCAGAUGUAGAAAUCUCUGGUGGUGCUUUUUGGAACAAAUGGCGAGUUUUUGACUAAUUUGGAAGAGGAUCCUUGUCUUUCCCUCUCCUUUAAGAUGACAGGUAACAAAUUUGAUGGCGGGGAUCAUCAGAGGAGGAAAGCAGAUAAGGUCAGUGUGGAUCUGUUUAACAUGUCUGACAGGAGAGGAUCCAUGGGGGGGCCUUUGGUUAGUUUUUCCUUGUCUUUGGAUCCUCACAUAUCUUAAUCCCAGAAGACAUUAUGUGCUGGAAAACAGAGACGAAGUGAGGCUAGACAGCCGUUCGGACCUGAGAUGGAAAAUGACCUCAAUACUCAGAUGUGCUCUUGAUCUGUCAGACAGAAACAUGAAACACUUACGUUACAUAUCACCUUUAAAAUUGCACAAACCGAUUGACUGAAAGUCACAAAAAAGACAUAGUGGAGUGUACCUCUUGUAACCUUUGAGUGAUCAUUAUAAUUUUCCAAAUCUUAACUUGAAAAGAUCAUAAAUAACCCAGAAACUUAAUAAGUUAAUUGCUUUUAAUUUGCAUUUUUCUGCAGGUCCUACAAGAGUUUUACAAGAGAGUUGACACAAGUUCCUAAUAGGAGCUUUAAUUAAGUUCGACACAAAGUCCAAAUUACCUCUGACUUACUGGUAGAGCUGUCUCCGAGGUAAUUACUUUCCACCUUGGCAGCAGCAACUAUGGUGUACUGGAAGGGACAAAAUAGCAAGCUUUUAAUUUUAUUACAAUUAAUGCACCAAUGUUGACAAAGAUAAUCAAAUACUGUAAAACACAACAACAUCUACAAACCACUUAGACAGGGUUGUACUUUCUUAGAUGUUCUCUAAUACUAGCUAAUACAGCUGCGUUAAAGUGCUAUUUUCAUGCAAAUUUGCUCGGUGUAGCACUUAACAUUUCUUUUUUAUCGUGCAGAAUAAACUCCUAAAAAUAAACCGGAGAAAGAGGCUGCAACACAUUUUAUGGUAAUGUUCAAACAAUAUUUUCUCUGGUAGUGGAGGCCAGAUGGUUGCACCACAGUAAUAAAGUUCACUCAAGAGUACAGCUAAAACAACGGUGAGUGUGUCAAAUUGGUUUUAGAGUUUUAUUAUCACUUACAUAUUGCAGUUUGAUGCUCUUUUUUUUAUUUCGCGGCCUCAUUUUGUUGAUUAUUGAUCGCCUAAACAAAACAAAACAAAAGAAGAAGAAAGAGACACAUUCAGAAAGAACGAUUUGUGCAAUGUCUCCAUAAAAACAUCAUCACAGAUAAAACACAAAUCACUGCUCUGACCGCUCAAACAUGUUCCUGUCCUUACCUCCGCUCUAAAAAAAAAAAAAAGUAGAGGAAAAAAGGCUGAAAUAGAUGAUCCAGAAACAGGAAGGAUGUUAGGCGUUUUUUCAGCCUCAUCUGGGAGCCCAGUCCUGACUCCCAGAUGGGUGCUUACCUUCAGCAUUUUGUAGUCCUGCCAGAGAGCUCUUGUUAGAAACAAACCUGCACAUGGUCGUAUUUUAAUCGCUCCUGCUCUCACAGGCUGUUUCAGCAGGUUUCAAACACUCUCUGGCUGGGGAGAUGGCCUCUCACUCCACCUGCAUGUCAAAGAUAUUAAUGUCCCUGAGUCACUUUGGGACUCAGGACUCGGAUACCUCGCUUCCGAUUUUACUGAACAUGACCACAUUUUUUUUCUAACAGGAGGAGGAGGAGGAGGAGAAGGAAGUCUGUCUGCUGAGCUUCUGUGGGGGAGAAAAGCCUGUCUGAGAAAGCAGGUUGUGUCUCCUCAAACAUACAAGAACAAUUGUUUUCAUGUGCCAGAGAGUUUGGCACGGCUCUCAGACAGAGGGAGGAUGAUGGAGGGUCUUACAGUAAAUAGGAUGGGUGGGCGUCAGGGGGGAGUUGGCAGGAGGAAAUCCCAGAGAAGAAAUUAGGGAACAAUACAGAUGGAGGUAAAGCGGCUCAGCUCUGCUUGCAGGCUCAGACAAUCAGCCGUCAGCUGCCUGCCAAAGCCCAGAGGCAGAGGUGAGAAUCCAACACGCACAAAAAGAGAUUUCUACCUUCCUAAAUAAACAGUCGAGCAGGGAGAGAGAUGCAGCUCUGCAGCUUUAACUCAGACAGACCAAAUGUUUCAGUAACAGCUGACUUCAAUGAACUAAUAUUAGAUCCUCAUUUCCUCCAGGAUCUAUUUAUCACAGCGCAUGUGAAAGAUGAGAGUCUAUUAAAAAUCAGAUCUGUCAAACUAAUAAAUGAUAUAUUUACGAAUAAAUGCUGAUGACCUUAUAAGGCCAGAAUGCCUGUUUUUGAGUUGUUUCCAGGCUCUAAUAUGGACACUCGCCACCAGAUGGGGCUGUAGCUCCUGAUAAUGACUUUUGCCAUGAUGCUUCAAUGCCCUACUACCCAGAUGUAAACAAGCACAGCUGACAGGUGUGGCAUGGUG